GGAUGUGAGGGCGAUCUGGCUGCGACAUCUGUCACCCCAUUGAUUGCCAGGGUUGAUUCAGCUGAUCUGGCAGGCUAGGUGAGUGUCCCCUUCCUCCCUCACCGCUCCGUGGGCAUCCCUCAGGAAGCUGCACGCUCAGUCGAAGAGGCUGGCCUUCCCGAAUAGAGACAGACUGGUCUUCAGUUGAGGGUAUACGAGUAGCUGCGCUCCCCUCCUAGAACCUCCAAACAAGCUCUUAAGAACUGAAUAUAAUACUCUAUACAAGGAUUUACCACAAUAUAUGGUACACAUCCAAAAUUAAAAAAAAAAAAAACUUU
ensembl:misc_RNA 7SK 7SK RNA